UACGUAGGGGGCAAGCGUUGUCCGGAAUCAUUGGGCGUAAAGCGAGCGUAGGCGGCCCGAUAAGUCUGCUGUAAAAGUCAACGGCUCAACCGUUGAAAGCCGGUGGAUACUGUCGGGUUAGAGUUCGGAAGAGGCAAGUGGAAUUCCUGGUGUAGCGGUGGAAUGCGCAGAUAUCAGGAGGAACACCUAUAGCGAAGGCAGCUUGCUGGGACGAUACUGACGCUAAGGCUCGAAAGCGUGGGGAGCGAACAGG
rnacentral:rRNA from 1 species